rnacentral:lncRNA from 1 species
UUUGCAAAUUAGAUACAUUUAGUUGUAUGCUACUAUAUUUUCAACUGCACAACGCAGUAAAAUAAAUAUUAACAGCAAAAUAAUGUGUAAACUAUUUUCAUCAGGUAAUAUUAUUUGCUGUCAUUUAUAAAUCUGUAUAAUUUUUUCCCUUUCAUCAGGUUGGGAACAAACCCUCUAUAUGGCGAUAAUACCUGUAUAGAGGGAUAACCCUUCUUUUAAAGAGGCAUACAAUUAUCCAUCUAUAGAGGGGUAUUUUUGUUUAGAUUGGAUUUAAAACAUAUUAGGGCAGAAUGGCAUUUUCUAGUUAUAUUGGCUAUAAUCUCUAGCAUAACAUGCAUCAAUUAUUGCACUUUACUAAAAAUUGGGAUGACCAGAUUUCUGCAAAAGUGACAAAACAUGCAAUCUAUUGUUUAGCUUAGGAAUAAUCACCGUAUAGAGGAUUUGUGAUCAUUUGUUCCCAACCUGUUCAUUGUUAUCUAGCUUCUUUGAUUCUAAAUUUAG